GUUUUGUCAUAGGGCUAUAAUUCUACAAAUGAAAGAACCAUAAGCUACCAUUAUGGACUCGUUUUGUCUGCCAUCGCUGUCAUAUUCUUCAAUUUGAUGGCAGGAGCCGAACCCACAAAUAGAGCAGAAAACGGUUCAAGAUAAAAACUAAUCAUCCAGCAGCUUUGGAUAACCAACUCAUCACACGCUCGAGCUGUGGUUAUGCAGCUAGCUAUAUCUUGUUUCCAGACCUGAGCCCUAGGACCAUGCCUCAGGACUACCUGGUAUGAUGACUCCUUGCUGUCCCCAGUCCACCUGGCCGUGCUGCUGCUCCAGUUUCAACUGUUCUGCCUGCGGCUAUGGAACCCUGACCUGUUCACCGGACGUGCUUGUUGCACCCUCGAC
rnacentral:lncRNA from 1 species